UGGUGGUCUGGAAGUUCUGGCUGACUUCAUUCACCUCUUUCUCAAAGAGUACACGUACUUCACUGAAUCCCGAGCUCACUGGUCCCAUGAGCUCCUCCAGGAUGGAUGCCAGGAAUGGCUGCACACUCUCCAAGCAGCUUUUCUCCGCCGGCUGGGCCACCAUCGCUUUGAUCUUUCCAAUUAAAUAGUUCUUUGAGUUCACAAUCUGAUCCAUGUCAGAACGGAUCGUUCCUUCCAGGCCCUUUGUCAGAGCUCUGCAUUCCUCCUUCAAGGCAC
rnacentral:lncRNA from 1 species